rnacentral:rRNA from 1 species
UACAUGGGGUGCAAACGUUGCUCGGAAUCAUUGGGCGUAAAGCGCGCGUAGGCGGUUACUUAUGUCGGAUGUGAAAGCCCUCGGCUUAACUGAGGAAGUGCAUUCGAAACUGGGUAGCUAGAGUACUAAAGAGGGUCGCGGAAUUCCCGGUGUAGAGGUGAAAUUCGUAGAUAUCGGGAGGAACACCGGUGGCGAAGGCGGCGACCUGGGUAGAUACUGACGCUGAGGCGCGAAAGCGUGGGGAGCAAACGGG